GCGCAUUUUUCAAAUCGAGGACGAGGAAGAGAAAAUAUUAAUGUUGGUUGCGAGAUAUAGAAGAAGAAGAAGAAGAAGAAUAACAUACAGAAGAAAGAAGAGAGAAUAUUUCCACAGCUCCACAAGCUCUUUUCGCGAUUGGCGAAAGCGUCAUAUUUGAAAUGUAUCAAGGAAUGACACAGAGACCUCUGACUCUGAGCUAGACAGUGAGCCAGAGCUGCCAGGAGAUGUCAUCGAGUCCCUCCCAACUGCGUCAAGCACCAGAUAUGCUGUUCCAAAAGGACCCAAUGAACCUGGGUGAAGGACGGCACCACGGCAGACGCCGAGUCCGACAGACCCUCCUUCUUCUUGCCUCGAACCUUGUCCUUGAACUUGCCCAGGCGGGAGCGCGGCUUGUCUGUAGCAGAGAGGUCGAACAUGCUGGCUGUCAGGUUGUUCUUCAUAAACUGGAUGUCCACCAGCACCUCUCCCCUGUCUUUGUCUGGCUUGCCUGCCUUAUCCAACAGCUUAUGCCAUCUGUUGAGAGAUAAACAAUAGACUACCAAAUAGUUUCAUUGAAUUGGUACGAAACACAUGCUGUUCUUAUCGGAGAGAUGGCUCAUGAACAAGGUCUAUGAAUGUGAGGCAGUGAAAGAAAGAACCAAGGUAAUGUUUUAUUUGUUUAGAUGUCUACUGAGCUCCUCCAAUAACUUGUAAGGGCACUCAGAAAUAACUAGAAAUGUGUAGGCAUUCACCACUCUUUUCAGAUAACGCACACUUAGCAGACUGAUCUGUCUGAACAACCACAGCAUGCAUAAGCAGAGGAAGGCUGAUGAUCAAAUAAGUGUCAUGUGUUCAUCAGUCCCUGGGCCUCACCUCCAGUUCUAAAAAAUAUAUAGUGUCUACAUGUUGUUAGCUAUCACAAAUAAAGAAAGCGGUCACCCAUCGCAUGGCUUUA